rnacentral:rRNA from 1 species
GACGAACGCUGGCGGCGUGCUUAACACAUGCAAGUCGAACGGAAAGGCCCUGCUUUUGUGGGGUGCUCGAGGGGCGAACGGGUGAGUAACACGUGAGUAACCUGCCCUUGACUUUGGGAUAACUUCAGGAAACUGGGGCUAAUACCGGAUAGGAGCUCCUGCUGCAUGGUGGGGGUUGGAAAGUUUCGGCGGUUGGGGAUGGACUCGCGGCUUAUCAGCUUGUUGGUGGGGGAGUUGCUUACCAAGGCUUUGACGGGUAGCCCGCCUGAGAGGGUGACCGGCCCCAUUGGGACUGGGGUACGGCCCAGACUCCUACGGGGGGCAGAAGUGGGGAAUAUUGCACAAUGGGCGGAAGCCUGAUGCAGCAACGCCGCGUGCGGGAUGACGGCCUUCGGGUUGUAAACCGCUUUCGCCUGUGACGAAGCGUGAGUGACGGUAAUGGGUAAAGAAGCACCGGCUAACUACGUG